rnacentral:lncRNA from 1 species
UUGAUGAUUUUGAAUGUGUGCAUGGCUGAGAAGAUCAUACCAAUUAAUUUUCAUGCAGAAGUCAAGGUGAGAACUGCUUUGGAUUGUGGCAGUUGAAACUGAAAAACUAGGGGCUGAUUAUGGCUUUUUCUGAAAUCACCAAGAAGCCUCCAAGAAGCAAUAGUUAUAUCUUAUUUCUCAUCUGACUCUUCAAAUGACCCCAUUCACAAAAGGGCUUCUCUACUUAAUCUACCCUAUCUCUCCAAUUGUCUAAAAUCCUACUUCACUUUUUAGCUAGAAUUAUGGGCCACAGGCUCUAAAAGGAAUUUUAUAGAUCAUUUGGUCCAUCUUAUUUUACUGAUGAGGAAAAACCAAGAUUCUAGGACAAAGACUAGCAUCCAUGUAUUCCAAGUCUGCCUUCCAUACCCUGUUUCAGAAUCAUGUGAUGUUUGAUGUUGCUAAAUGGAAUGCUUUUUACCUUGGGCUUUUCUAUAUCCCCCAGCAUGCCUUGCAGAGGGCUCAUCCAUAGCCAAUCAGCCGUUGACUGUUAAUGGCCACCUGGAGUGCUGUGCUGAGGAUCGGAUCUUCUCAUGGCUGGCCCUGUCUCAUUGGUCAAGUUUCUCCCAAAUGGUGCCAUUCACCUCCUCACCACCACCCCCUCUCAACUAGAACAGCAGCCAUAACCCAGGGUCAUUACAUCUGGUUUUGACUCAGGGACAAGAUAGACCAGGCACUGGCCUACAAAUGUGGACACUAACAGCUCCUGAUAGAACCAGGGUGGAAACUGAGGUAUGUGUGACUCACUCAUACUUUAUCCCCAGCACACUACUCCAAACACAGAUAUCCCAUUACAUACAGUCCCCUGGAGAUUUGUAUUUUUGACUUUAUAGUUGCUCAGCAAACACUUAUUUAAUGGGGGAAAAGUGCUAUGUUAGGUGUGCAGGGAAUGGUUUCCUUCUUAUUUGCUUAUGCUCUAGGAAGAACAACACACAGAGGCCUGUGACAGGUGAACAAACUGUGAGAUAGGAAAAAAAAAUCAAAAUAUUUUCAGGAGAAAUUUGUGAGGCUCAACAUGUUCAGUGAGGAUUUAGAAUCAUGAAAACUUUCACUGUGGUUAAAG